GAUGAACGCUGGCGGCGUGCCUAAUACAUGCAAGUCGAGCGAACGGACGAGAAGCUUGCUUCUCGGAGGGUAGCGGCGGACGGGUGAGUAAUACGUGGAUAACCUACCUAUAAGACUGGGAGAACUUCGGGAAACCGGAGCUAAUACCGGAGAAUAUUUUGAACCUCAUGGUUCAAAGGUGAAAGACGGUCUUGCUGUCACUUAUAGAUGGAUCCGCGCUGCAUUAGCUAGUUGGUAAGGUAACGGCUUACCAAGGCAACGAUGCAUAGCCGACCUGAGAGGGUGAUCGGCCACCCUGGAACUGCGACACGGUCCAGACUCCUACGGGAGGCAGCAGUAGGGAAUCUUACGGAAUGGGCGAAAGCCUGACGGAGCAACGCCGCGUGAGUGAUGAAGGUCUUCGGAUCGUAAAACUCUGUUAUUAGGGAAGAACAUAUGUGUAAGUAACUGUGCACAUCUUGACGGUACCUAAUCAGAAAGCCACGGCUAACUACGUG
rnacentral:rRNA from 1 species